rnacentral:rRNA from 1 species
AGACGUCUACAUUAGAUACCCGCGUAGUCCCAGCCGUAAACUAUGCGCGUUAGGUGUAUCGGUGACCACGAGUUACCGAGGUGCCGAAGGGAAACCGUGAAACGUGCCGCCUGGGAAGUACGGUCGCAAGGCUGAAACUUAAAGGAAUUGCGGGGGAGCACCACAACAGGUGGAGCCUGCGGUUUAAUUGGACUCAACGCCGGGAAGCUCACCGGAUAGGACAGCAGAAUGAUUGCCGGGCUGAAGACCCUGCAUGACUAGCUG